rnacentral:rRNA from 1 species
UACGUAGGGGGCGAGCGUUGUCCGGAUUUAUUGGGCGUAAAGAGCGUGUAGGCGGCCAGGUAGGUCGGUUGUGAAAACUGGAGGCUUAACCUUCAGACGUCGACCGAAACCAUCUGGCUAGAGUCCGGAAGAGGAGAGUGGAAUUCCUGGUGUAGCGGUGGAAUGCGCAGAUAUCAGGAGGAACACCGGUGGCGAAGGCGGGUCUCUGGGCAGUAACUGACGCUGAGGAGCGAAAGCGUGGGGAGCGAACAGG